GAUGAACGCUAGCGGGAGGCCUAACACAUGCAAGCCGAGCGGUAUUGUUUCUUCGGCAAUGAGAGAGCGGCGUACGGGUGCGUAACACGUGUGCAACCUGCCUUUAUCUGGGGGAUAGCCUUUCGAAAGGAAGAUUAAUACUCCAUAAUAUAUUGAACGGCAUCGUUUAAUAUUGAAAGCUCCGGCGGCUAGAGAUGGGCACGCGCAAGAUUAGCUAGUUGGUGAGGUAACGGCUCACCAAGGCGAUGAUCUUUAGGGGGCCUGAGAGUGUGAUCCCCCACACUGGUACGGAGGUACGGACCAGACUCCUACGGGAGGCAGCAGUGAGGAAUAUUAGUGAAGGGGUGCAAGCCUGAACCAGCCAUCCCGCGUGAAGGACGACUGCCCUAUGAGUUGUAAACUUCUGUGGUAUAGAGAUAAACCUACCCUCGAGAGGGUAGCUGAAGGUACUAUACGAAUAAGCACCGGCUAACUCCGUG
rnacentral:rRNA from 1 species